rnacentral:snoRNA from 2 species
UUCUAUGAUGUUUCCAACUUACAAACUUUCACAAUGAUAUUUGAAUACAACUUGAUAGUAACCUUAAUCUGAUAAA